CCUACGGGUGGCAGCAGUGAGGAAUAUUGGUCAAUGGGGGAAACCCUGAUGCAGCAACGCCGCGUGAAGGAAGACGGUCCUCGGAUUGUAAACUUCUGUUCUCCGGGAAGAAUCAUGACGGUAGCUAAGGAGCAAGCCACGGCUAACUACGUGCCAGCAGCCGCGGUAAUACGUAGGUGGCAAGCGUUGUCCGGAAUUACUGGGUGUAAAGGGAGCGCAGGCGGGAAGCCAAGUCAGCUGUUAAAACUACGGGCUUAACUUGUAGACUGCAGUUGAAACUGGUUUUCUUGAGUGAAAUAGAGGUUGGCGGAAUUCCGAGUGUAGCGGUGAAAUGCGUAGAUAUUCGGAGGAACACCGGUGGCGAAGGCGGCCAACUGGGCUUUAACUGACGCUGAGGCUCGAAAGUGUGGGGAGCAAACAGGAUUAGAUACCCGGGUAGUC
rnacentral:rRNA from 1 species